rnacentral:lncRNA from 13 species
GGCUAAGAGCGAUGAUGCCUCCUGUCCAAUUUCACCUGAGGCGUUCUCUCUAACGAACUUCCUGAAGUCUCACCCGUGAGUCCUGCUGUGAACCUCUAUAUGUGCAGAACAAAUAUAAUCUAUGUAAACACUAGUUUAAGUUGCCAAUGAUUCCUGGUGUUGGUUUGUUUUCCAGUCAGAGAAAGCUUAUCAGGAAGUUCCUCAAACAAAUGGUAAGUCCCGCAUUUUUUCUGCUUUCAAGGGUGGAGUGAUCAUUGGAAACAACUAUCUUGUAACAUAAAAACUACUAGCUGUCAGAUUGUUUUCUGUUUCUCUUUCUAAGAACGUGACAAUAGGCGACCUGGACGAAAUCAUCGAGUGGGUGGUGUGUGUCUCCAGUGAGGUGUUCCUCCCAGUGAUGGCUCUGCACAGGACCUCCAGACCAGAGUCGUCAGACUCGUCCCACUGGGGGUCAGGUGUGCUCCAGAUCGUCUCUGAAAAGUUCCACCAGCGGAGUUCUGAGCCAAAGGGAAGGCUCCUGGGCGGACAGCCGCCCACUCCCCCUUCUGAGACCGACAAGGAGCUUCAGGGCAUAGCAGAUCUGUCUGUGAGUAACAUCCUGAAAAGGGCCCAGGAGGACCUCUUCUCUUCUGGUGAGGAUGACCUGGAGAACACCCAUCCAGGUAUUACUCUGACAGAAGAGAAGCUCUCCAGCAUCUUCUCAGAGCUGUUCAGGGAUGCCUGUGAGAGUGCCCAGGAGGCCGCCAGACGGAUCCACCACAUGAGGUCUGGAAGAGGCAACAACAGCCAGAAUGGGAGUUGGCCUGGGUCGUCACAGGGAUCGAGCAAAUCCAACAUGCCAGAGUUGGGAGAACUGGGGUCAGUGAGGAGUCCCAAGGGAAGUGACGUCCAUAAAGUUCUUAGCGAGGGGUCCCUCCCUGUCUUUGCCCUGUUUGAGGAGAGGCCAGGGGAAGUUGGGGAGACCAGCAGCCCUGCUGGGGAGAUGGACGAGACACAGACUGCCAGCACUCCCAGCAUUCCCCGGUCUGGGCAUGGCGGCAGAAGGAGUAGCCAGACCACCACUCCCACCCCCGGCCACAGAGAGGCAGGAUUCACAGCCAGUAACAUCUUUGAUGUUAUUAUUCAUCUGGCGCACUCUGACACUGACCGGGAACUCCACCAGGAGUUCAGCAGUGAGGAUGAUGUUUCACUGAAUGACAUCAUGGACAUGAAGUCAACCCUGGCCCUGGGUCAGAUCCUGUCCUCAUGGAAGCUGGUCAACAUGAUCUUCAGGGGGAAGGUCCACUACUUUGGGAAGGAGCUCAUCUGCAAGGUGUAUCAGAUGCUUCUGGACACCGGUAUGGGCAGGAGGCCAAUGGCCCGCCAGAGCAGGUCCGAGCCCAUCCUGAAAGACCUGGCUGCCAACCGUAGGCUCUCCAAUGAAUUCUUCACAGACGUGCUGUACAUGUUCAUCCAACGGGCCAUUAAGAAUCUGCUGGAGAACUUUUUGGGUCUGCCGACCACCCCACCAGGCAGAGACAUAAUGUGGAAUGACAACUUUAACUGGAUGUAUAGGGACGGCUGGGGGAACACCCCCACAUCCAGCGAGGAGGAAUUGUGGGACAGCGACUCCACCUGGUCAAGUGGGCAUGGGGAGGAGGAAGGGACAGAGUCCCGUGGGAGGUGGGCCGCUCUGUUGGAGAAGGGCAGCUUCCUGACCCUCCAGUCCUCCAGCUCCCUCUCCCUCUCCGAUGACAACAAGGAGGCACUAGGGGCCGUCUGCCAAGUCCUGACCACCAGGGUGGGAGACAUCCUGAACAGUACCUGCAACGACGAUUGCAAGGCCAGGCUCAUCAUCCAGAAAGGUACACUUAUAACCUGUUUUACCCAUAUGACCAGUAAUAACAGUGUAAUAACCUGUGUAAUAACCCGUGUAUUACCAUUAUAGUAAAUGUGCUAGAUACUGCAUAGUGUUAUACAUGAAUGUGGCUUUGAACCAUUUCAGAAUAUGAGUGUAUUUUCUUAGGAUUGGAUUCCGGUGCCAGGGAAAGGUUCCCUGACUUUCCGUGUCCCUCUUCACCCAAGGACGAAGAGGAGGUGGUUGUGAGUGCCAUGACUGUCUCAUACCCUAAACCCUCCACCUCAACCCAGGCAGCAUGGGCAGCUCCUGCCCAGACUCUGGAUGUUUUUCUGCCCAGACCCUGCCUGGAUGAAGAAGAGGUAGUGCCCAGCACCUCCUUGAAGGACAACUCUGUGACGACCACCCAUGCAGCACUGGCAGCUCCUUCCCAGACCCUGGUAGAAGAGGUGGGAGAAGCUGAGGUGUCCAACGUGAGUGAGUGCUCCCUGAUGCCCACCAAGGCCCUUGAGAAGAUUCCCUCCCUCCUACCAGGCAAGAUCCUUAUCGAGGAGGACACCCUCAGUUGCAGCACUCCCUGGGCCACCGUCAUGAGCCCCCAGACCCUGAAGUUUAUCCUCCACGGCAUCAUGUGCCGACUGGAGGCCUCAGAGUCCCCCCAGACAAGGAGGGCCAAUGACCCCUUCAGGCUGAUGAAGGAUCUCUUUCUGGAGGUCCAGCAUGCCCUGAAGUAUGCUGACAUCUCUGUCCUCUUUGGCCUGGAGGAGAGCAUCCAAUUCAUUGGGGAGGAUGCGGUGAAGGCCAUCGUGAAGACUGCAGCUAAAAGAUUGUCCCUGCGUUCGGACUCCAACCGGGCUCAACUGCGUGCCGCGCGCUCUGGUGGUGAGGCAGCCAUCAGGUGCAUGGCGGACACCAUCACACAAGUCAUAGAUGACUAUUCCGAGGACUGGAGUUCCGGCGGCCAUUUUGGAGCCAGGAGGAGCCGUGCUAGUGGGAGGUCACACUCCUCAACCUCCUCAAGGAGUGACGUCACCCUCACCGAGGAGCUCCUGGCCCGGAGGGAAUCCCUUGAAGAGGACCUAGCGGAGAUGGCUGAUGACAGCACUGGUUUGGAGAAGACCAUUGUAAGCUCAGCCAUCUCUGCCAAGUCCCAGGUAAUUAGCUACAUUUCUGAGAGCUCCGAGCCCAACAGCUGUGCCCUCUUCACAGACCUCGAGGACAUCACCUCCACACAUGUGAGACAGACAAGAACUAGUAGAUCGUUUAGUUAUUUGGGCUGUUUGAUUGUGAGGCAUCAACUCAAAUCUGUUUCUCUCUCUACGAAGGAGAAGGAUAAGAAAGAGGCUAUGAAGGAAGAAGUGAGGAAGUCAGGAAAGAAGAGGCGAAGAAAUAACAAGGACCAGAAGAAGAACAAGGUGUCUCCUCUUGGCAAUGAUAGUAAGUCCUCAUUUCUGUCAGUCAACAUGUGCGUCUGUCUUCAGCACACUAUUGUAAUGUAAGGACGGGAGACUAUGAUGAAGUUAUCAGGGUCUUAUUCAUUAGCCACUAAAUGGAAGAGAACAGACUAAAACAGGGAGGAACUUUCUUGAACUUGCCAACAAAUUAUUGUUUUUGUUUUCUGUUUCAAAACAUUUUGCUACUGUGUGCCUGAAUGAACACGACCCUGAUUUCCUGCCCUGUUCUAUGUCACCUGUUCAGGUACUGUGGCUGCAGAUGAGCCGAAGAAAAAACAGGCUCUCCUCCCGCGGAUCACAGCUGCCCUGGCAAGACUAUUUUGCUUCCCCUGCAAAAAAAGAUGCAAAAAGUAACUGCAGAGACGAGUUUGGGAAACCCUGAUACCACCUCCCCCAACCCACUUUCUAAAAAAACAUCAGUGCCACCAGAAGAGGGAGACAACCCCCCCUAACUCAUUUUAUUACCCCCCCACCAUUUAAUUUAAUAAACACAACUUUCAGCUAUUUUGAUCUUCUUUACUUUUUUUUUACAGACCCACCUGCAUGCUAUAGAUUCGUAAGGUCAAUUUGCUGUGUACUGUCUACAGUAUCAUUGUUAUGAGUAGGUUCACUUUGUCAGUCAUUAUUUGUACCUUUAUUUAACUAGGCAAGUUAGUUUAGAACAAAUUCUUAUUUUCAAUGACGACCUAGGAACAUUGGGUUAACUGCCUUGUUCAGGGGCAG